rnacentral:tRNA from 1 species
GCCUGCCUGGUCGAAGCGGCGUGGCGUUGGUAAUGCCACGCCACGCGGGUGCGGUUGCCGCAGCAGGCGCC